CAAGUCGAGCGGAAAGGCCCUUUCGGGGGUACUCGAGCGGCGAACGGGUGAGUAACACGUGAGUAAUCUGCCCUUGGCUUCGGGAUAGCCACCGGAAACGGUGAUUAAUACCGGAUACGACACAUCACUGCAUGGUGCGUGUGUGGAAAGUUUUUUCGGCCAGGGAUGUGCUCGCGGCCUAUCAGCUUGUUGGUGGGGUAAUGGCCUACCAAGGCUUCGACGGGUAGCCGGCCUGAGAGGGUGACCGGCCACACUGGGACUGAGACACGGCCCAGACUCCUACGGGAGGCAGCAGUGGGGAAUAUUGGACAAUGGGCGGAAGCCUGAUCCAGCAACGCCGCGUGAGGGAUGACGGCCUUCGGGUUGUAAACCUCUUUCAGCACAGACGAAGCGCAAGUGACGGUAUGUGCAGAAGAAGGACCGGCCAACUACGUGCCAGCAGCCGCGGUAAUACGUAGGGUCCGAGCGUUGUCCGAAAUUAUUGGGCGUAAAGGGCUCGUAGGCGGUUUGUCGCGUCGGGAGUGAAAACACCGGGCUUAACUCGGUGCUUGCUUUCGAUACGGGCAGACUAGAGGUAUU
rnacentral:rRNA from 1 species